UUGAGAGCAUGACCUGAGCUAAAAUCAAGAGUCGGAUUCUUAAUCAACUGAGCCACCUAGGAGGUGAGGGUAAACAUUCAGAAAACAUCUAUGAGGCCAGCUGUAGGGCUCAUGUGGACUCUGACUUUGAGUCGGGCUGCCAUGGAAACCGGAAGCGUGUAUUCAAGCCUUUGUUAACAGGAAAGACAUUCUUCAUGCUGUUUUCCUAUUUCAGAGAGAGUGAGAGUGAACAUUCAAGUGGGGGCAGGGACAGAAGAGGAGGGAGAAAACCUCAAGCAGAAUCCGAGCUGAGCAUGGAGCUGCAUCUCGUGACCCUGAGAUCAUGACCUGAGCCAACACCAAGAGCUGGACGCUUAACUGAGACACUGGGCACCCCGUAUGGUAUUCUUUAAAUCCAAAAUAAUCACUGAUUUCCUUGGUGUUACAUGUAAGUUCGCAGCUCUAAUAAACUUUCUUAUUUAAAGCAAAUAAACUUGACCCAACUUGAACAAUGCAGGGAUUUAGGAUGUCAACCCUCUGCCACACAUCGAAAAUCUAUGUGUAACUUUUGAUUCUCCCAAAAUGUUACUGAGAGCCUACUGUUGAUUGGGAGUCUUACUGAUAAAAUCAGUAGUCAAUUCACUACAGAUUUUGCAUGUUAUAUAUAUUCUGUAUGGUACUCUUACAAAGACAUAGCCUAGAGAAAAGAAAAUACAUUUACAGUACCGUACUGUAUUUACUGAAAAAA